AUGAACGCUAGCGGCAGGCCUAACACAUGCAAGUCGAGGGGUAUUUGGAGCUUGCUCCAAAGAGACCGGCGCACGGGUGCGUAACGCGUAUGCAAUCUACCUUUUAUUAAGGGAUAGCCCGGAGAAAUCCGGAUUAAUACCUUAUAGUUUAUUUGGUUGGCAUCAAUCGGAUAAUAAAGAUUUAUUGGUAAAAGAUGAGCAUGCGUCCCAUUAGUUAGUUGGUGUGGUAACGGCAUACCAAGACGAUGAUGGGUAGGGGUCCUGAGAGGGAGAUCCCCCACACUGGUACUGAGACACGGACCAGACUCCUACGGGAGGCAGCAGUGGGGAAUAUUGCACAAUGGGCGGAAGCCUGAUGCAGCAACGCCGCGUGAGGGAUGACGGCCUUCGGGUUGUAAACCUCUUUUAGCAGGGAAGAAGCUUUUGUGACGGUACCUGCAGAAAAAGCACCGGCUAACUACGUGCCAGCAGCCGCGGUAAUACGUAGGGUGCAAGCGUUAUCCGGAAUUAUUGGGCGUAAAGAGCUCGUAGGCGGUUUGUCGCGUCUGUCGUGAAAUCCUCAGGCUCAACCUGAGGCUUGCGGUGGGUACGGGCAGACUUGAGUGCGGUAGGGGAGAUUGGAAUUCCUGGUGUAGCGGUGGAAUGCGCAGAUAUCAGGAGGAACACCGAUGGCGAAGGCAGAUCUCUGGGCCGUAACUGACGCUGAGGAGCGAAAGGGUGGGGAGCAAACAGGCUUAGAUACCCUGGUAGUCCACCCCGUAAACGUUGGGAACUAGUUGUGGGGUCCUUUCCACGGAUUCCGUGACGCAGCUAACGCAUUAAGUUCCCCGCCUGGGGAGUACGGCCGCAAGGCUAAAACUCAAAGGAAUUGACGGGGACCCGCACAAGCGGCGGAGCAUGCGGAUUAAUUCGAUGCAACGCGAAGAACCUUACCAAGGCUUGACAUAUUCGAGAACACCCUGGAAACAGGGGACUCUUUGGACACUCGUUUACAGGUGGUGCAUGGUUGUCGUCAGCUCGUGUCGUGAGAUGUUGGGUUAAGUCCCGCAACGAGCGCAACCCUCGUUCUAUGUUGCCAGCACGUUAUGGUGGGAACUCAUGGGAUACUGCCGGGGUCAACUCGGAGGAAGGUGGGGAUGACGUCAAAUCAUCAUGCCCCUUAUGUCUUGGGCUUCACGCAUGCUACAAUGGCCGGUACAAUGGGCUGCGAUACCGUGAGGUGGAGCGAAUCCCAAAAAGCCGGUCCCAGUUCGGAUUGUAGUCUGCAACUCGACUACAUGAAGUCGGAGUCGCUAGUAAUCGCAGAUCAGCAACGCUGCGGUGAAUACGUUCCCGGGUCUUGUACACACC
rnacentral:rRNA from 1 species